rnacentral:rRNA from 1 species
GACGAACGCUGGCGGCGUGCUUAACACAUGCAAGUCGAACGGAAAGGCCCUGCUUUUGUGGGUUGCUCGAGUGGCGAACGGGUGAGUAACACGUGAGUAACCUGCCCUUGACUUUGGGAUAACUUCAGGAGACUGGGGCUAAUACCGGAUAGGAGCUCCUGCUGCAUGGUGGGGGUUGGAAAGAUUCGGCGGUUGGGGAUGGACUCGCGGCUUAUCAGCUUGUUGGUGGGGUAGUGGCUUACCAAGGCUUUGACGGGUAGCCGGCCUGAGAGGGUGACCGGCCACAUUGGGACUGAGAUACGGCCCAGACUCCUACGGGAGGCAGCAGUGGGGAAUAUUGCAGAAUGGGCGGAAGCCUGAUGCAGCAACGCCGCGUGCGGGAUGACGGCCUUCGGGUUGUAAACCGCUUUCGCCUGUGACGAAGCGUGAGUGACGGUAAUGGGUAAAGAAGCACCGGCUAACUACGUG